rnacentral:sRNA from 1 species
CCAUUGUCUUAUGGGCAAGGGAGAAAACAGCACCAGAGUGAAGGGCAAGGUGUGUGAACAGCAGCCAAAGGGCCUCGGCACUAUCAGUGGGCCCAGAAACCCGAGGUGACAAAGGCGUGAUAGGAACAGAGAUGAGAGGUUGAGCCUGCUUAAAGGAGAUAGGAGGAGACCAGGGUAAAAGUGAAACACGGAGAACUUUCUAGAGCAGUUUUGUGGCAUUAGGAGCACACAUGAAAGUUUUGGGUAAAAUGGGGCCAAAAGAAGUUGCUUUUAAAACUAGAAGUCACUUCUGUGUCAUACGCUGAUAGGGACUACAGAGGAGGAAGACGUAGGAGGGAGUGGGAAAUGUGGCUGGAAUACUGUCCUUGACCGGCUGAGAUCGGACGGGUGAUUCACAGGUGGAGAGGUUGGCUUUGCAGAAGCACUUGCCACGUUCUUCCUUGAUGUGGACAAGGAAACAAGAGGACACAAGGGCGGGUGUGUGGUCUGGCCAUGAAGACAGGAAAGGAAGCAGGGUCAUCUAUCAGGAGGAUCGAUGAGGAAGGUGUUAGGGGUCUGAAGGGAGAAGUGAAGGUUCUCUUGGCGAGAGGGAGGGUGAUGUGUCAGGCCAUAGUGUGUGAUAACCCGUGGGCGUGGACCGAAGAUGAGAACAUUCAACAUUGGUGUGGCAUCCUCCUGCCCCCAAACAAGCAUGGAUAAAGGAAAAAGCGGACUUGACCGUGGGUGCGGUUUUACAAGGAGAUGAGGGGGGACAGAGGUGUCAAAGGGACCCAGAAGGGAGCAGUCACAUGGCUGACCACUGAAGACCCAGGAUGUGCCGGUUCAGCCUUGCCUACCCGCUGGCCGCCAAGCUCCAGAACCAGGGCAACAAAUAAAUACCACAACGACAGGGAACACUGCAAAGGGCAGAGCUCCUAGAAUUUCUCACAUUGCCUCAAGGAGCCGUAUGGUCAGCACACGGGUUAGCAGAGCUGCGGUGGUCAGCCUUCUCCGGGGUCUCUCUUCAGUCAACGGUCACUCUUUAUAACCCGACGACCGCCCGGACCUUAAUCGAUCUGCUAAUCGCUGCUUCCUGCUUUCUGAAAUCAGCCGGACACACUGACCUCCCGAACACCCUCCUGCUCUUGGGGGCUUGUCAACAAGAAGCAACUGUGGGGCUGAAGAACACAGCAGUCCAGGGACCAGCAACUUUCUGAGAACGCCAGGGUCCUACUCUAGCCCAUUGUGACCUCCGUCAUGUGGCCUCUCACUGGUCCUCAUAUUCCUCAAGCACCAAGCCUUUCCCUUUGUCUCCCCACACUCCCUCAAACCUCCCCCACCCCUAGAAUCCAAGGAGGAUUUGUCUCUCCUCAACCUUUUUGGAUCUUAAUGACCAGUUGCUCUACUAACACCUCUCAGUCAUGGCUUUGUGCUCUAUUCUGGUCAAGAGGGCAAUGGCGGGUGAGUUCACGGUGUGGGGGAUGGGAAUCCCUGUCUUCCAUGCCUCACAGCCCUGCGUUCUAAUCCGCAGCCCACCGAUACACACACAUCUGUAUGUUCACUUGUGAUGAGGGUCCAGCAGCAUGUCAGUCAGUGCAAAUGUAACUGUCCCGAGGAGGCUGGGCCCCGCGCCCUCCCCGUUUAAGGCCCUGCCCGUAAAACCCAGGCAGGCAAUGGUGAUCAAUCACCUUGGUACUACGUAGGUCUUCCCCUCUUUCUCUCCUCCCUCACACUGACUUCUGGGGUUUCUACCUCUCUGAGCCCAUGCUUCCUGUUCCUUGAAAUGACUUCUCCAUCCCUAGUGACAGAUCACAGUAGGCUUCUGAGUAGCAGGCAGGGAGCCCACCUCAUAAAAAGUCAACAUCCUUGAUUACUUUGACGGGGAAAGGGUGAAGGGCCUUGGGUGGGGAGAGACCAGGGAUCUGAUUCCUCUUAGAAUCACUCGUGGUAAUAGCUAGCUAACCUCGGCAGCUAUGGAGGCCGACACAUCUCAAAAGGAGAGUCUGGAAAAAGCAACGAGAAUAUUUUACCUUCUGCGAAGGGCUACUGUGCAGUGUGUCCCUUUGUAGUUAGGGGAGGAGUGGGGGAGGCAUCUUGGAAAAAUUAGAAAGCAGAUGCGCCCGUAAUUGAACUUGGCAAGGGCAAUAGAAACCUCGUUAUGGGUGUUACAGGCACUCACACCUCAAUUAACCUGGGGGGCUGAGAGGCUGUUGGCUGCUUUGCCCAGAUGUCUGGGGUAAGAUUUAGGUGCCAGAGACUCCACGAUAUAAAGACCCAGGACCCGUGCCCAGCCUGCAAGCAGAAUCCCUUCACCAGGUUUCAUAGGCUUCGGUCUAGGAGAAUGCCUGGUCCCGGGUGCCUCUCAGGUGAACCCCCAGUUGCCUGGGCCACCAGGCCCACCCCAGAGCAGACCCAGCUUAGCCUGAGUCUGGCUCUGCUCCCACAGCCACGACCUGUGCCGAGUUUUACUGUCCGUCAUUUACCAUUCUGACGGGGCAAACAAAUUUAAAACACCUGGAAAUUUAUGUCUCUGAUGGGUCGAGUUGCACUGUUCCAUUAUAUUAAAUAAUCCAGGCUGUGCGCUUCAAAGGAGGCCGGCCUCCUGGAGGCCGCCUGGGCGCACCGCCUUUGUUAGCUGAGCUGGGGCGGACGGCCUCACCUGCGCCUGCGCGGAGCCUGGAGCAACUGGGCCCACGAAUCCCUCAAAUGCGCCUGCGCCCUGGCAGCUGCAGGCUUGGGCCCAGGUCGAGGGCCAGGCUGACUUUUGGGUACUUUUUCAUCCUCUCUAACACUUGGCAGCCCUUUCCUCUCACCUGAGCACGCUCAGGACUUGGGCAGGUAGGACCUGCCAUUUACACUCGCUUGAGUUCAAAGUUUGAGGUCCCACUUCUCAGGAAGGCGUUUACUGGCUCUGACUUGGAGAAAUGGUUUUCGUACUCACUGUAUAGACCAGACUGGUCUUGAACUCACCAAGAUUCACCUGCUUCUGCCUCCUCCCAAUGCUGAGAUUAAAGGUGGGCGCCACGUGAUGUGGACACAGCUUGCUCCUCCUAGAUGCAGUUUUGUUUGUGUUUAUUUUUAUCGCCCCCCUACCUCCCCUCGGGUGAGAUCCGAAGAACUUAGAAUGCCCUAAACGUGCUACGUGGCUUCAGAUUCUGGCACUGUGGUUAGGUGGUCGGCAGGUGUAGACACGUCACAAGUGAACCAGCACUGGCUUAGAUGUUGAUUGGGCUCACUAGCCACAGAAAACUCUGGAGAAGUUAGCGUCUAGAGGCCACCUCACCCCUGCACUCAAGUCUGCAAGUUGGAGGGGCCGUUUGAAUUUCACACCACCCAGGACAGUGUCCCUGGCAGGAAAUGCCCACCUCUGAAACAGUCUCUCCAUGUCUCGAGCAAGCCUUGGAGUUUUGAAGUGGUUUGUUCUGGUUCCAGGCGUGUGAGAAAAAUCUCCCCAAAGUCAUUGUAUAGACAACAUGGGAAGGACCGUGAGAAGUACCAGAUGCUUUCUGCCAGGGUGUUUAGAAUCUAGAGACCCAUGACUAACCCAUUCUGAGGCAUCAAAUGGCAGUAGUUAAUUAGCGCUGGAAAAAGACUCCACAGAGCUUCUGACUCAAGCCUCCUUGCGGGCAGAAAGGUGUUCAAACCCAGGGAAGGGAAGAGCAUGUGCAGCCCUGGCGUCUACUCUAAUUAAUGAGGAGUGUCUCUCAUUAACCAGAUUGUACAGAUGUGUGCAGCUGACAAGCUUGGGGUGUUUUCCAAGUUAAGUCUUGAUCACAUGAUUGUCCCCAAUACUCUUACACAGUGUGACUGCGCACAGGAUUGUCCCCAGUGCUUUCACGAAGUUUGAUUGCAUAUACGAUUGUCCCCAAUGCUCUCCCACAGUGUGACUGCACACUUGAUUGGUUGUCCCCAAUGCUCUCCCACAGUGUGACUGCAUACAUCAUUGGUUGUCCCCAAUGUUCUCCCACAGUGUGACUGCAUACAUGAUUGUCCCCAAUGCUCUUACGCAGUGUGACUGCAUUACGUGUGGAACAGGUGGGUGGGUAUUUGUAGUAGUCUCAUAGAUGAUAUGCCUGGCUUACUAUAAGCCGUGACACUGUUCAGUGUGCCAGGUCUCCAUUAUCUUCCAUGGCCUUCUCUGCACCCAGGUUGUCCUUAAGCAGUUCUUGCCUGGAAUACACAUGAGGCUUUAUCAUUUGCCUCGUCAGCAGUUUUAUCUUUAUUUAAGGCACGGAUAAUAAAGAUGAAAUUCAAAAUAUAAGAUUAUGUUUGAAGUAUAUUUUUCAACUUUGAAAACAUUUAGGUCACACCCACGUAGAAUAAAAUAGAAGAAAACCCGCAGCAAACGUUUAAGGUAUCAUUACCCUUGCGUUAUGAAAAUGUGGCUGACUUUCACAGUCAUCCUUCACCUUUCUGUGUCUUUUAAGGCCUUUUAAAAUAGCAUGUGCUAAUUUUGAAUUUUAAAAUAAGGUAUUUUUACAAAUUGAGCUUUGGCUUAGCAAAGCAUGCAGGAGUUAAGACUCGGCCUGGCCCCAUCUGCAUCAUUGUGAGUUCAGAAUGGCAGCAGUCCAGUUGGGGGGUGGCAAUUACCAAGGGAGAGCUUGUACUUUAGCGCCCCAAGGAAAGCCCCAAACUAAUGGCCGUUAGCCAUCGCAAUGGCUGAUUUCUCAGGGAUCACUCCAAUUAGGAUCUUCUCCACGACUUACAGCACCAGCCCUCCAACUUCAGACAAGGAACAUGUGUGGCACAGCUGGAGCAGCUGGGCUGGAAAGCCAAUCACUGCCUAACAACUGUGAGACUGAUGGUCCGUCAAUCAGAAACAUAAGGCAUCCGCUCCGUUUAUAAAGCACACACAUUUGCUUGCAAAUCUGCAGAUGCACUCGGCAGCACCGGCACCCCCAGCCCCAGAGAGAAGGCAGCACCAGCCACUUCUAUAAAGUCUAUAAAGAAUCAGCCUGGCACCCCUCUAAGGAAUGCUCCCACUUCAGGAGACUGCCUGGCAAGUCUCUUUGGUCCUCUCCCCACUGGCCCCCAAGUCUCCAGCCUUCCUCCUAGGCCUCCUGAUACUCUUAGGGUUGGCUCGAGGGUUUUACAGACCCUGAAGCCUGCCCACUGCCACUCUGCGAGAAGCUCUCUGCAUGUGGAAUCGAAGGCCUUGUAAAAUGGCUCUCCCACCUGCCUGUAUCCAUUUCUCCUUUUACCUUUGAAAAGUCCCACUGUGAAGGUGCCAGCACACACCUGUGAUGCCACACUUGGAGGCUCAAGGAAGGAAGGUGAUGAUUUUGAGAGUAGCCUGGGCUAAAGUGUGACCUAUCAAGAGACCGAGAGAGACAGAGAUGAGAAGCUCAAAUAUCUUUUCUCAAGAUCAUGGUUGGGCAAAGAACAGACUUAGAUGUCUUAAACGCCCAUACAUGAGCUGACUUCUGGGGUGGGUUAUUUUCUCGGGCCCACAGAACAUCGCUUUACAUAUUUCAGAGGACCUAUUAGAUAAACUCUGAACCUCAUGUCCAAUUCUGUCCUCUUGAGAAUAUCAUAGCCACCUCUGCCUUUCUGUCCCCUCACUGGCCUCUGGAGGAGGUUGGCAGGCUUGAGGCGUUGUCUCCACUGGGCAGGAAAGGUAGCUAAUAUCAGCCAAAAACAUUUCAUAUAUGUCUCCUAGUAGUGAUGAAGACAACUACUGUAUACUGUUUGUGAUUUCUAAGUGAUCGUGUUUGAUUGGAAAAGGCUGUGAAGAAACAUUGUCAUCCCUGGACAGAAAAAAGAAGGAAAGGUGAAGAGGAAAUAAGGGAAGAGAAUAUCGGAUAAAUGUUUACUGUUGGUGUGUCCCACAGUAUGUUAAGCACUUUUCGAAUGUGAAGUAAUCUGCCCUUUGUAGCAGACUUGAAAAAGUGAACCAUACACACGCAUGCGCGCGCACACACACGCACACACGCACACACGCACAUGCACACGCACACGCACGCACAAACAGGAUUAGAUCCAUUUUACACAAAAGGAAUUAAGACUCAGGAAGGAAAAAGAGUCAGAGAAAUUGUAGAUUACAUUGUAAGUUGAUAGUAUGUGGUGGAUGAACUGGGAUUUAAACUUGGGGCAUCUGAUUGGUAACGAAAUCUGAGAACUUUCCAACUGUUGGGUUUUUUUUUUUUUUCAACAUUUUUGUCAGCAUAAUAUUUUUUUUUCAACAUUUUUGUCAGCAUAAUAUUUUUAUUGAUUCUUUGUGAAUUUCACAUCACGGAUGCUGACCGCACUCAUUUCCCCAUCCUUUCAUGUUUGCCCCCUACCCUUGUCCCCUCCCCCAAAAAAUUAAAUAAAAACGUCCAGUUUCUGCUAACUUUAUACUCACUGCGGCAUGGUCAGACUCUCAGUGUCUCAGUGGUCUCCUUCCCUCCCGUGGCCCUGCAGGGAGUAACGUCGGCGUCCUUGUCACUGUUGGGAGAGUAUAGGGUUAUCACAGAAGCUGUCCAUGUUGCUCUCUGUAUGCGUCUUCAGCCAUUGAUGUCACUGCACAAGGAGCUCGCUUGCUCUUGAGUCUGCAGGAACAAGGAUCAUGGGAUUCCACAUGGUUUAUGGUGACAGUGCAGACCACAAACAUGGCCUCUGGCUGCAGGGAGUCCACAGACAAGGCCUUGGAAGCAGCCCAGACCACAGGCAUCACCAUGGCCUCAGGUGGCAACACAGGCUACUCACACCAAUAUGGCCCCCGGCAGCAUUACAGCCCACAGACAUCCACAUGGUCUUUGGAUACACAGUCCACAAGACACGAACAUCAACACAGACUCCAGCUACAGUAGAACUAUGGGCCCUCAGCGGCAGCAAGGGCCGGACAGCCCCAUGGCCUUCACAUGGCCUUAGGUGGCAAUGCAGGCCACUCAGAAGUAUGGCCCUCGGCCACAGCACAGCUCACAGACGAUAACAUGGCUUCAGGCGGCAGGGAAGACCAUGGACAACCACAUGGUUUUGAUGCUGACACAGGCCACGAACACCAACAAAGACUACGGUUGCAGCAGGGCCCCAGACCCAGGCUUGGCCUUCUGCAGCAGCCCUAGUCUACACUUCACCACGGCCUCAGGUGGCAGCAAAGGCCACUGAGAUCAGUGUCUCCCACCCUCUAGCAGGGCCCACGGAGAUCAACACGGCUGCAGUGCAGACUUCAGACAUCUGCAGGGCCUUUGAUGGUGAAGUGGGCCACGGAUGUCAGUACAGAUCCCAGCUGCAGGAGUAUCUAUCUCAGACCCAGACGUGGCCCUUGGUGGCAGCAUGAAUCUGGACAUUACCAUGGCCUUCGGUGGCAGUGUAAGCCGUUUGCAUCAGCCUGGUCCUCAGUGCUGUUGUGUCCAGUCAUGUCUCCCGUUGCACCCGUCUCCACAGGACACACACCGCUCCGUCUUUCUGUCUUUCCCAUCUCUCCAUCACACAUUUGUAGUAUCCUGCCACCCUCUCCAGGAAGGCAGGGGUGGCCUGGGUGUCUGCUGUCACCUGAGCCACAAUGGCAGGGUGGCCUGGGUCUGGUUUUGUUUCUAAUUGACGUGCAAUAACCAAAGAGAUGUAUGGGGUUCACGUGACAUGUCAACACACAUUCACAGUGCACACUGAUCAAAUCAGUGUGAUUCUGGAUACAGUUCUGCGAGUCAGAGAGACUUACCUAUGGAAGGGCUGGCAAGACGGCCCAGUGGGUAAAAGCACUCACCGUGCAAUCCUGACGACCUGAACUUAGGGUAGAAGGAGAGCACCGAUUCCCAACAGUUGCCCUCUGACCUCUGCACAUGCACUGUGGUGUGCAUUUGUCCCUGGUCUCGUCGCACACACAUCCCCAAGGCUAAGUGGAACUUCAGGAUUCUGGCGAUGCCACUCCACACAUUCCAAAUACAAGGCCAAGCCACCUCUCAGUCCUUGCCCACUCGGCCUGGAACUGUAGCUGGGUUUGCUCUAGAGGGGGUGUUUCUGAACCCCAAAACUCCCCGACUAUGCUGGUUUCAAAGAGCUGAGUGAUCUCUGCUAUUGGUUUUAGCAGGUCUUUCCUCAGUGGGCAGGAAAGAGGGCACAGUGGGUCCUGUUCCCAUUCUGAGAGACCCCCAGAAAACUCCAGGCAGGAGAAACAGACUGACAAACCAUAUUGCUUCUGGGGAAGAUCGGUGAAACCGUGGGAUGAGCUAUGCUCAGGCAGGUUGAGUGUACUGACGGAGCUCAGAAAGAACGGCAGAGGACAGGGGUUGAGCUUUUACAUGUGUCGAGUGGAAUAAUGACUGAACUGUGUGGUACCUUGGCAGGACCUCAGGGGGACAGACUUCAGGCUGUUAAUGGAAGAACAGAACUGCAGAAAUGAAGAAACCUGCAUGUGUAGGGUCCUUCCCCUGGAGAGCCCUUCUGAGUGUGGACGUGCCCUUGUCCGUGAUGUUGUGAAGAAGCAUGAGGCAGAGGAGCAAGGGGUGAGAUCUGAAAGUCUUUCCUUCUCCUCCCACCAAUGAAGUUUCCAGAGUCCCUCUUCUGUUUUAGCCACAUGCCUUUUCUCUUCUGUCCUUCAAACCAAGUACUCGCUGACAUUUUCCAGCAACCCCGGCCAAUCGCCGUGCCCAGAACCUCCUGAAGAGAUGGGAACAUGAGAAUUCUUUUUCCUAUGUCUUCUUCACACAGAGAUUUAAAGCUGUUAUCCAGAGCUUCCCAUCGACACGCCGUUACUCAUGCCUGCAGCCCUCUGUGCUGUAAAAGACAGUGACUUUAGGUAAAAUAGGAGAAUGUUACAAGGAUAGAGCCCAAGAGCUCGAAACCCAGGUAAAUACCACUGAGAACACACCACAUAGAAAGAUAACCUAGCGGACAGACAGCAGGGAACUCUUGCAGGUUAGCAACCCCUGAAAGCGGCCCACGGGGGUGAAAGUUCCGUUCAAACCCACGAUCUCAAAGGCGAGGAAUUGUUCUGAGGCUUCCCCACUCGAGAAAGAGGCAGAAGCAGUACUGAAGACUAUAGCUGAAGGCUCUGCUCUACCUGGAGAGGACGGGGAAAUAACAUAUUCUUGAAACAGGACGCAGGCCCAGCCUACCACGGGAUCAGGCUAGGAAAGCCCACACCAUAAACACCAGGCCUGCAGGAGACACCUGGACCACAGGACCCCUACAAAACCACUCAGCAGAGGAACCUGAAGGACUUCUGACUCAUCAGUCUCUCCACGCUGGCUCCCUGGCCCAAGCGAGCACAUGAUCCCCUUAAAGGCCUCAGCAUCCCAGCAUGAAUGUUGGUAAGUUAACGGUUUCCCCAUCCUCUGCUACCCCUGAUGCCCAGGCACUCACCACCCAGAGCAGAGCUCCGCGGAGCAGAAGGCCCUAAUGUACCCAUCCACACAUCCUAGCAGGCCCUGCGCAUGCAGGGCACACCUGAGACUGCUCUACCUUUGCUGUCCACGCAUCGUGCAGGGGCUCCACCCACAUCUCCACGCCCUGGCCCUUCACAGACCAACUUCAUGUUUUUCCCUCUAACCACCAAAGAAGCAUCCUACUGUCCAGUCGCGCUCAACCUGAGUGCAGAAGGCCCAGGCGGGUGUUAGCUGCCCGGAGUAAGAAUGGAACUGCACCGAGCCUCUGCCUGCUUGCUCCCCGAGCAGAGUGAAGGAAGAGGCUUCCCACACGUCUUUAAGGACCUGAUGAUCAAGAAGAUACAGAAACUCUGAAUUGCUCUCCUUGGUGUUUUUCCUAAACAGUGCUAAUAAAAUCUUAAACCCACGUGGCAGCCCACUGCUCAUCAACCAUCCACUGCCCUCAGGGUGUACCAGUCUGUGUAGAUUAUAAAUAAAGACUAAAAUAUGCAGCGUGCUCCACACAGGUUCCUUGGGGCCUGUGGAAGGGGACCCAGCCUCCUCCCUGCUGCCUGCUGCCCCCAGUUGGGAGAAGGCUGUCCUUACAGAGUUGUUGCCUAGAGGAAGCUCCCCUGGACAUUGACACACCACUACAAGGACCUGCUAUCCAUCCCUGGA